rnacentral:rRNA from 1 species
AUGCACCAUUAUCAACAAGCAUCAGUUAAUCACCGUAAAAAGAGCAGGCAUCAAGAAAUAUUGUUGCGGCUAAACAACAAGAAAAUUUGGCGCCGGUGCAUUUUUAGGGUGGGAGGACGGGAGCAUGCAUCACAGACGAACACAUCAGCACACACACAUUUAACUGAAGCUGUUCUAAACAAAGAAAAACAUCAAACUCAAGUGGUUUGCGAGGCCAAACUAAGUCAUGGCUAUUUCGAGAUUUUGGGGCAAGAUCAAGAGAAACCGGCAAGCUGUCCUCGCGGAAGGAAGCUGCCAUGCAGUUUGAAGUCCAGUUGUGUCGCACGAUGCAGGACGUGGGGAAGAUAA